GCCUGGGUGGCUCAGUUGGUUAAGCAUCUGACUUUGGCUCAGGUCAUGAUCUCAUGGUUUGUGGGUUUGAGCCCCACAUUAGGCU
rnacentral:tRNA from 1 species